GAUGAACGCUGACAGAAUGCUUAACACAUGCAAGUCUUUGGCAAAGCUGUGCUUGCACAGCCUAGCCAAGGCGGACGGGUGAGUAACGCGUAAUGAACUUGCCCUGCAGUCAGGGAUAACAGACGGAAACGACUGAUAAGACCUGGUAAAGUCAGGCGGACUCAUGUCCAGCCUGAUGAAAAGAGAUGCUGCAGGAGAGCCUUGCGUCCUAUUAGCUUGUUGGUGGGGUAACGGCCCACCAAGGCGAUGAUAGGUAGCCGGCCUGAGGGGGUGGACGGCCACAAGGGGACUGAGAUACGGCCCUUACUCCUACGGGAGGCAGCAGUGGGGAAUAUUGGAUAAGGGGGGCAACCCUGAUGCAGCAAUUCUGUGUGGACGAUGAAGGUUUUCGGAUUGUAAAGUGCUUUCAGCAGGGAGGAAAAAAAUGACGGUACCUGCAGAAGAAGCGACGGCUAACUACGUG
rnacentral:rRNA from 1 species